rnacentral:tRNA from 1 species
GGCCCAAUAGUAUAGUCGCAUUAUACUCCCUUCGGGUGGGAGAGGUCCCGGGUUCAAUUCCCGGUUGGGCCC